rnacentral:rRNA from 1 species
AUUGAACGCUGGCGGCAUGCUUUACACAUGCAAGUCGAACGGCAGCGCGGGCUUCGGCCUGGCGGCGAGUGGCGAACGGGUGAGUAAUGCAUCGGAACGUGCCCAGUAGUGGGGGAUAGCCCGGCGAAAGCCGGAUUAAUACCGCAUACGACCUGAGGGUGAAAGCGGGGGACCGAAAGGCCUCGCGCUAUUGGAGCGGCCGAUGUCGGAUUAGCUAGUUGGUGGGGUAAAGGCUUACCAAGGCGACGAUCCGUAGCUGGUCUGAGAGGACGACCAGCCACACUGGGACUGAGACACGGCCCAGACUCCUACGGGAGGCAGCAGUGGGGAAUUUUGGACAAUGGGGGCAACCCUGAUCCAGCCAUGCCGCGUGCGGGAAGAAGGCCUUCUGGUUGUAAACCGCUUUUGUUCGGGAAGAAAUCCUCUGGGCUAAUACCCCGGGGGGAUGACGGUACCGGAAGAAUAAGCACCGGCUAACUACGUG